rnacentral:rRNA from 1 species
CCUACGGGAGGCAGCAGUAGGGAAUCUUCCGCAAUGGACGAAAGUCUGACGGAGCAACGCCGCGUGAACGAUGAAGGCCUUCGGGUCGUAAAGUUCUGUUGUUAGGGAAGAACAAGUGCUAGUUGAAUAAGCUGGCACCUUGACGGUACCUAACCAGAAAGCCACGGCUAACUACGUGCCAGCAGCCGCGGGUAAUACGUAGGUGGCAAGCGUUGUCCGGAAUUAUUGGGCGUAAAGCGCGCACAGGCGGUUUCUUAAGUCUGAUGUGAAAGCCCCCGGCUCAACCGGGGAGGGUCAUUGGAAACUGGGAAACUUGAGUGCAGAAGAGGAAAGUGGAAUUCCAAGUGUAGCGGUGAAAUGCGUAGAGAUUUGGAGGAACACCAGUGGCGAAGGCGACUUUCUGGUCUGUAACUGACGCUGAGGCGCGAAAGCGUGGGGAGCAAACAGGAUUAGAUACCCUGGUAGUCCACGCUGUAAACGAUGAGUGCUAAGUGUUAGAGGGUUUCCGCCCUUUAGUGCUGAAGUUAACGCAUUAAGCACUCCGCCUGGGGAGUACGGUCGCAAGACUGAACUUAAAGGAAUUGACGGCUGAGAGNGCGACGACGACGACGAGGAGGAGG